rnacentral:rRNA from 1 species
AGUUUUAUCAUGGGUCAGGAUGAACGCUGGGGGGGUGCUUUACACAUGCAAGUCGAACGAGCCUUCGGGGUAGUGGGGGACGGGUGAGUAACGCGUGGGAAUCUGUCCUCAGGAGGGGGAUAACGGGCGGAAACGGGCGCUAAUACCCCCUAUGCCGAGAGGUGAAAUGAAUUUCGCCUGAGGAUGAGCCCGCGUCUGAUUUUCUAGUUUGUGGGGUAAUGGGCCCCCCAGGGGACGAUCAGUAGCUGGUCUGAGAGGAUGAUCAGCCCCACUGGGACUGAGACACGGGCCCGACUCCUACGGGAGGGAGCAGUGGGGAAUUUUCCGCAAUGGGGGAAAGCCUGACGGAGCAACGCCGCGUGAGGGAUGAAGGGCUCUGGGGUGUAAACCUCUUUUCUCAAGGAAGAAGACAUGACGGUACUUUAGGAAUAAGCCCCGGGUAAUUCCGUGCCCGCAGCCGCGGUAAUACGGGAGUGGGAAGCGUUUUCCGGAAUUUUUUGGGGUAAAGCGUCCGCAGGGGGGCUUUUAAGUCUGUCGUUUAAGCGUGGAGCUUUACUCCCUUUCAGCGAUGGAAACUACAAGGGUUUAGUGUGGUAGGGGGAGAGGGAAUUCCCGGUGUAGCGGUGAAAUGCGUAGAUAUCGGGAAGAACACCCGUGGGGAAGGGGCUCUGCUGGGGCAUAACUGACGCUCAUGGACGAAAGCCCGGGGAGCGAAAGGGAUUUUAUACCCCUGUAGUCCUGGGCGUAAACGAUGAACACUAGGUGUCGGGGGAAUCGACCCCCUCGGUGUCGUAGCUAACGCGUUUAGUGUUCCGCCUGGGGAGUACGCACGCAAGUGUGAAACUCAAAGGAAUUUACGGGGGGCCGCACAAGCGGUGGAGUAUGUGGUUUUAUUCGAUGCAACGCGAAGAACCUUUCCCGGGUUUUACAUCCUGCGAAUCCCUUUGAAACGAGGGAGUGCCUUCGGGAGCGCAGAGACAGGUGGUGCAUGGGUGUCGUCAGCUCGUGUCGUGAGAUGUUUGGUUAGUCCCGCAACGAGCGCAACCCCCGUCUUUUUUUUCCCGCAUUCAGUUUGGGACUCUAGAGAGACCGCCGGUGAUAAACCGGAGGAAGGUGUGGUGACGUCAAGUCAUCAUGCCCCUUUCAUCCUGGGGUACACACGUACUACAAUGCUACGGACAAAGGGUUGCAAGCUCGCGAGAGUUUUCUAAUCCCCUAAACCGUGGGUCAGUUCAGAUCGUAGGGUGCAACUCGCCUACGUGAAGGAGGAAUCGCUAGUAAUCGCAGGUCAGCAUACUGCGGUGAAUACGUUCCCGGGGCUUUUACACACCGCCCGUCACACCCUGGAAGUUUGGCAUGCCCGAAGUCGUUUCUCCCACCCUUUUGGAGGAGGACGCCGAAGGUGGGGGUGAUGACUGGGGUGAAGUCGUAACAAG